CAUUAGUGUUGGAGGGAAAAACAAGUCAUUGUUGGACCUGGCAGCAGAGGAGGGAGUCUUGAGUCCUGUAUAGAUCACAUGCCCACAUCAAUGAAGAUGACCAAAGAUCAAAGACACCCGACUGAGAGGAUGUUAGACCUCACCCUGGAGAUCGUCUACCUGCUGAUUGGAGAGUGUUACACAGUAGUGAAGAAGACAUCUGGUAAAUAUGUGACCUCCAGUAGACACAUCACUGUCCCUUCAUCUGUGAAGAUUCUAGAAGUCACCAAGAAGAUGAUGGAUCUGCUGACAGG